rnacentral:rRNA from 1 species
CGUCGGCGACCGGCGCACGGGUGGAGUAACACGUAUGCAACCUGCCCUCCUUCAGGGGACGAACCUUCCGAAGGAGGGCUAAUCCCGCGUAUAUCGGUUUCGGGCAUCCGAGAUCGAGGAAAGAUUCAUCGGAAGAGGAUGGGCAUGCGGCGCAUUAGCUAGACGGCGGGGUAACGGCCCACCGUGGCGACGAUGCGUAGGGGUUCUGAGAGGAAGGUCCCCCACACUGGUACUGAGACACGGACCAGACUCCUACGGGAGGCAGCAG